UUGAACGCUGGCGGCAUGCCUUACACAUGCAAGUCGAACGGCAGCGCGGGGCAACCUGGCGGCGAGUGGCGAACGGGUGAGUAAUAUAUCGGAACGUACCCUAGAGUGGGGGAUAACGUAGCGAAAGUUACGCUAAUACCGCAUACGAUCUACGGAUGAAAGCGGGGGAUUCGCAAGAACCUCGCGCUCAUGGAGCGGCCGAUAUCUGAUUAGCUAGUUGGUAGGGUAAAAGCCUACCAAGGCGACGAUCAGUAGCUGGUCUGAGAGGACGACCAGCCACACUGGGACUGAGACACGGCCCAGACUCCUACGGGAGGCAGCAGUGGGGAAUUUUGGACAAUGGGCGAAAGCCUGAUCCAGCAAUGCCGCGUGCAGGAAGAAGGCCUUCGGGUUGUAAACUGCUUUUGUACGGAGCGAAAAGGCUCUCUCUAAUACAGGGGGCUCAUGACGGUACCGUAAGAAUAAGCACCGGCUAACUACGU
rnacentral:rRNA from 1 species